GGUUGGGCUGUUCGCCCAUUAAAGUGGCACGCGAGCUGGGUUCAGAACGUCGCAAGACAGUUCGGUCUCUAUCUAUUGUGGGCGUAGGAAUAUUGAGAAGAUCUGACACUAGUACGAGAGGACCGUGUUGGACAAACCUCUAGUGCAUCUGUUGUGGCGCCAGCUGCAUUGCAGAGUAGCUAUGUUUGGAAUGGAUAAGUGCUGAAAGCAUCUAAGCACGAAGCCAACUUCAAGAUGAGUAUUCCAGUGAUUUAUCACGAAGGGUCGUAAAAGAUGAUUACGUUGAUAGGCUAUAGGUGGAAGUA
rnacentral:rRNA from 1 species